ensembl:lncRNA
GUUUACCAUUCUUUACAUUAAUUAUUUUGACUAUACAUUGUCAUGUAAAUAUCAAUGCAUAGAUUGCAGUGUUUUGGUGAACUUUAUAUUUUAUUCCGAUAUGCUAGCAUGCACCACCUGACCUUCGGGUAAUCAUGCUAGUACCCCUUCCCCUCUGUGUGCUUUGUAUAGGAGUUGGAGGAUUGUUUAAGGGCACUUUCUGAAAGGAAGCUGUUUUAUAUUUAUCUUCAGCGGCAAACAAUAAAUGGACGUCGGAUUUCCCGAGUCCGGACUGAGAUCCUGGGUCACGUCUUGACUUAAGAAAAAUACACAAAGCAGAUUCAGCCGGUCACAUGCAUAAGGAUGAUCAAAUGGAAAACCUGCUCCCGACCAGGUUUGGUUGAGAGCAUGAGUCACCAUGGUGAUACAGCGACGCUAAAAGAGAUCGACUUUCGUGUCCCAGCUAACCCAGGCUUUGAGCGCAACAUACCUCGCUAACCCACUAAUCGAGGUUCGUAGUACAGGCCACUGGAUUACUGUUCUCCUGUUUCCCUGAAGUUAGGGGGUAAGGCCAUACGACACCAUCGACAUGUAACGGACCAUCACUGUAAGUAAACUAUGGAGUUCUAUGACCGGGCUAUGGAUGCAAACACAUCCAUUAGGAACUAUCUCUGACCAAGUGUUUCCAGUUUUGGUCAUUUGAGAAGCUAGAGAAAUGGAUUGUGUGGCCUAUGUUGGGUUCUAUGAAAUGUCAGUCAUGUGAAUCAUUUGUACGAAACAAGCCAUAGGUUUGGAAUUGAUGUUCCAGACUCCAGAAAGCAACACACCGUUGAACUUGUUUAAAAAGAUCCCGUCACUAGCAGGCAUUUUGAGGGGCAGAGACGAGGAACGCUCACCAGGAAGGCUCCCCUGUCCCUUACUGCAUGACGGCUUCUUCUUAACAGGCUUUGAGGGCCCUCCACCCAUUGGGUCCCUUGGUAACCCCCCCCGCCCACUAUGACGCCCCUGUGUGUGGAUGGACUACUGUACCUUUCAAUAACUGUUGAGUCUCGACCGGUAGGUCCUCCAGGCCCUUCAUACUGCUCAGCGGGUCCUCUGCUUUGGCCUUUCCUGGUGGUGGCUGGUGAUUGGUGGGGAGCGGAUCAGUCACACUUCAAAAGGACUGUCUGCUGAGGAUGACGGCCCCUCUAAGCGGUCCCGCUAUGUCUCGAUGGCUCGGUCUUCCCGCAAAGUGCCUGUGUUAAAAAUCUUGAUGUCUUGUUUGAACCUUUGCUUUGUUUUGACCAAAAUGUUAAAAGUAUUACUAGAAUAGCAUUAUUUCAUCUGAGAAAUAUAUUACUAAAAUCAGACCAACCUUCCCCUUCUAAU